rnacentral:rRNA from 1 species
CGCUUUCACUCCUACGGGAGGCAGCAGUGGGGAAUAUUGCACAAUGGGCGCAAGCCUGAUGCAGCCAUGCCGCGUGUAUGAAGAAGGCCUUCGGGUUGUAAAGUACUUUCAGCAGUGAGGAAGGCGGGUACGUUAAUAGCGUGCUCGUUUGACGUUAGCUGCAGAAGAAGCACCGGCUAACUCCGUGCCAGCAGCCGCGGUAAUACGGAGGGUGCGAGCGUUAAUCGGAAUUACUGGGCGUAAAGCGCAUGCAGGUGGUUUGUUAAGUCAGAUGUGAAAGCCCGGGGCUCAACCUCGGAAUUGCAUUUGAAACUGGCAGACUAGAGUACUGUAGAGGGGGUAGAAUUUCAGGUGUAGCGGUGAAAAUGCGUAGAGAUCUGAAGGAAUACCGGUGGCGAAGGCGGCCCCCUGGACAGAUACUGACACUCAGAUGCGAAAGCGUGGGGAGCAAACAGGAUUAGAUACCCUGGUAG